GGACGUUUAGCUCAGUGGCAGAGCACUGCAUUCACAUUGCAGGGGUCGCUGGUUCGAUCCCAGCAACGUCCACUA
rnacentral:tRNA from 2 species